GUUUGCUCUUUCAAGUUUUACGUAGCAUUUAGCUUCUGUACUGGGAAAUCCAUGGAGCUGCAGUUGAGGCUACAUCAAUGCCUGUAAAUAAGGAUUGAAUGUGGGGCUGUUCAAUCACAGCCUGCUAAAUAGGGAGGCUCUACCUAUCAGAUAGUGAUUGAUCAAUACACUGAAAUCUUCCUGGCUUGGGGAGGUUAAAAUCAUCAUGGGAAAGACAUCUUGAGAGGUAAAAAUGGAAUGCCAGAAGGGUAAAUAAACGUG
rnacentral:lncRNA from 1 species